CUACAUUAUUACAUAUAUCAAUGUGGAUGCAUAUGGUUAUAACCAUAUGAUUUGUUUCCAAUCAUCAAAUGGGCCGUGUUUCAUCGUACAGUUAAUGGGCUUGGGCCUUUGGAUAACACUUAAGAUGAUGAAACGACAGCGUUUUGAAAGUGGCUGACUAUGGCUGUUUUUUGACGAUCGUCUUUUUUUUUUUUUGGUAAGGAUGACGAUCGUCUUCUUCGCUGGAAGCCUGAAACUCCUGCAGAGGAGUAAACCCUAGCAUUUCGCAUUCAGAGGGGAGUCUCCUACGCAAUGCGUUCACGUCGAUAUCCAAUCUCCGGCUGUUGGAUACGCUCUCCGGUCUUCCACCUCUUCGGUGACUGUACGAAUGCAGGAAGUGUUUUUCUACCUCCGGAAGGCUCGGCGGUCAACGGAUUUUUCAGUUAUUCGAGAACAGGUAUGUGUAGUUCCCUUCCCGGUCCUCCCAUGAUAACGUGCUGCAGUCAAUUGUGAAGAGAUGAACAUUACACAAAUUAGAGAUGGCAACAAUUUGAAGAAGCAUAAAGAUAAUUACUUAUGCAUCUUAUUACAAUUAUAUUUGCGGUGCGGGACCUUCUUUCACCCUAUUUGGGGGUAGUGGCUCAUGGUUUGCUCAGGGUGUGCUGCAUGAAAUUCCUCAGAAUGAUCUUAUUGAUGACAUAGAUAGCUUCCUGUCUUGCUGUGACUGUUAUCCAUCCUUCAUCAAGUUCUCCACGAGAGAAGCAUACAAGAAAGGAUGUUACCUUUUUGGGUUUCUUCCCUUUGUAUCUCAGCUGAAGCUGAUAUCUUUGGAUGACCAUGUUGUCAUCUAUCUUUUAAAAUGAGGGUCUAAGAAGAGCCACACUUUUUCCAUUGGAGACAGAAUCAAAGUAAGUAUUUUUUUUCCACUUUCUUUUUCUCUAGUGGGCGAUCUUUGCUUUCAGCCGAAGCAUCCUGAUAAGAUGUCUCCACAAGUUUCAUAGAUUGCAUAGUGUGUCUGAUCGAUCUAGGAAUCAUGAAAGAUGCUUUGCUUUACCCUUUUAGGAGUAAUGCUUUAUGUUCUGAUAUGCUUGUUCACUUGAGUGCAUCAAACACGUUUGCUUAUUAGGUCGUGUAGUGUUAGCAAAUCAUGUAAAAAGAUAGGGGAGGAUCAUAUCAGAUGUGAGAUGAAUUAGAUAAGACCCUCUUGGUAGAUCACCUCAAUGUAAGAGAUCGAUCUCUUCGAGUUAGAUCAUCGCACAAGACGAGAUUUGAUCUCUAUGAUCAGAUUGGUAAAGUAGUUCACAUGUUACACUGUCUGUGAAGACUUUUAUGAGGGAAUUCUUUUGGGGAUUGAGGACAUGAGAGUAUGUGAAAAAGGUGGACAAUGCAAAAGGGGACAAAUGCAUGGAGACUAGCGCGUUAGAAUGUGAGUCAUGUCUUCAUUGUCCAUCUAGUUUUAUCAUUUGUUAAAGGUCUAUAUAUAUACACACACACACACAUAUAUAUAUAUAUAUAUAUUACACUGUUCUCGAAGGGAACAAAAGCAAGACACAAAAAAUAAAGUCAAGAAGAAGCCAUGGAUGGGGGGGCCAAACCCUUUCUUUCAUCUUCGCACCAUCUUCUUCUUGUUUUCUUGCUUUUGUUUGAUCAGACACUGAAGAUCUUUUGCCUAAUAACCAAACAUGAACUUGUAAUUCUUAUCUCAUAUAUUUGGUUCAGAUGAUAGGAAUCGACAUCUCGGUUCGGUAUGAUUAUACUUUUGUGGGUUUGGUGUAUGAUUUUGUGUUUUGAAAUGGACAAAUUGCUUGUGGACAAGAUA